CUAUAUGAGGACGGGGACCUUGAUCUAUUGUGACUCAACGAGUGUCUGGGGGAUCUGGGACUCAAUGGGAGUGGGCUCCUUCCCCUUAUGCUACGUUGUGGGGAAGGAGGUCGAGCGUUAUGUAGAGGGGCUAGGGACCUAUUUUGGGUAACGGUUGGAUAAUGGAGUCGAAGUUGGAUCCUCGAUCAUUUCCUUGAUGCGCCUAUUAUGAUCCUCAAUCAUUUCCGU
rnacentral:lncRNA from 1 species